GAGAGUUAAACAGUACGUGAAAUUGUUGAAAGGGAAACGAUUGAAGCCAGUCGUACCUUCGGGUAAUCAGCCUUUCGUGUGCGAUUCUGUGGAGUUUGAGGAGCUUAACACCUUCAUGCUUUGCAUAUUCGUGCUCUUGGGUGUACUUGCCCGUGUGGUUGGUUAACAUCAAUUUCGGGCACCAUAAAAUGACUGGAGGAAUGUAGCUUUGAUCUUGUAUUGAAGUGUUAUAGCCUUCGGUAGAUGUGGUGAUCGAGAUUGAGGAUUGCAACGGAUACCUUUCGGGGCUACCUGUCUGAUCUCUGAUCGUUGCUUUGGUGCUGAAAGCGUGCUUAUAGUUAUCAAAGUCGAUGGUCAAUAGGUUAGAAUGGGUUAAAUUCGUUAAGGAUGUUGACGUAAUGGCUUUAAACGA
rnacentral:rRNA from 1 species